rnacentral:rRNA from 1 species
UACGUAGGGUCCGAGCGUUGUCCGGAGUUACUGGGCGUAAAGCGCGCGCAGGCGGCUCGUUAAGUCUGACGUGAAAGCCCCCGGCUCAACCGGGGAGGGUCGUUGGAGACUGGUGAGCUUGAGGGCGGUAGGGGCUGGUGGAAUUCCCGGUGUAGUGGUGAAAUGCGUAGAGGUCGGGAGGAACACCUGUGGCGAAGGCGGCCAGCUGGGCCGACCCUGACGCUGAGGCGCGAAGGCGUGGGGAGCGAACGGG